rnacentral:rRNA from 1 species
UAGGGAAUCUUCCACAAUGGACGCAAGUCUGAUGGAGCAACGCCGCGUGAGUGAAGAAGGUUUUCGGACCGUAAAGCUCUGUUGUUGGUGAAGAAGGAUAGAGGUAGUAACUGGCCUUUAUUUGACGGUAAUCAACCAGAAAGUCACGGCUAACUACGUGCCAGCAGCCGCGGUAAUACGUAGGUGGCAAGCGUUGUCCGGAUUUAUUGGGCGUAAAGCGAGCGCAGGCGGAAGAAUAAGUCUGAUGUGAAAGCCCUCGGCUUAACCGAGGAAUUGCAUCGGAAACUGUUUUCUUGAGUGCAGAAGAGGAGAGUAGAACUCCAUGUGUAGCGGUGGAAUGCGUAGAUAUAUGGAAGAAUACCAGUGGCGAAGGCGGCUCUCUGGUCUGCAACUGACGCUGAGGCUCGAAAGCAUGGGUAGCGAACAGGAUUAGAUACCCUGGUAGUCCAUGCGUAAACGAUGAGUGCUAAGUGUUGGGAGGCUUCCGCCUCUCAGUGCUGCAGCUAACGCAUUAAGCACUCCGCCUGGGGAGUACGACCGCAAGGUUGAAAC